UACGUAGGUGGCAAGCGUUGUCCGGAUUUAUUGGGUUUAAAGGGUGCGUAGGCGGUUCUUUUAAGUCAGUGCUGAAAUACUCCAGCUUAACUGGAGGGGUGGCAUUGAUACUGGGGAACUUGAGUGUAGUCGAGGUAGGCGGAAUUGACGGUGUAGCGGUGAAAUGCUUAGAUAUCGUCAAGAACACCGAUAGUGAAGACAGCUUACUAGACUACAACUGACGCUGAGGCACGAAAAGUGUGGGGAUCAAACAGG
rnacentral:rRNA from 1 species